rfam:Stanieria cyanosphaera PCC 7437 plasmid pSTA7437.03, complete sequence.
UAGUCUCAAGAGAAGAGUAGGUUCUAAUGAGGAACAGCCAUUAGAAGUAAUGGGGAAAGUUCGGUGUAAAUCCGACGCUGUCCCGCAACUGUAAAGAGACUGAAUACUUACGUUUCUAAGUCAGGAUGCCCGCCACUCGGUUAAAUUAAAU